GACAGCAGUCGCCGCGGGAAUACGAAGGGUGCAAGCGUUACUCGGAAUUACUGGGCGUAAAGCGUGCGUAGGUGGUGGUUUAAGUCCGUUGUGAAAGCCCUGGGCUCAACCUGGGAAUUGCAGUGGAUACUGGGUCACUAGAGUGUGGUAGAGGAUAGUGGAAUUUCCGGUGUAGCAGUGAAAUGCGUAGAGAUCGGAAGGAACAUCUGUGGCGAAGGCGACUAUCUGGGCCAACACUGACACUGAGGCACGAAAGCGUGGGGAGCAAACAGGAUUAGAUACCCCUGUAGUCCCUGUCUCUUAUAA
rnacentral:rRNA from 1 species